UUUUUUGCUCUUCAAUUUUCUUCAAUUGACCUACACUGUUUUCAUUUUUUCACCAAAUUUUACUGUCAUUACACUUUCUAAUAAACAGAGUACUCUGUUUCUGCAACCAUUUGUUUCAUCUUUAACACCUUUCUUAUGGCACUUUCAGCUAGACGCUUUCUGGUCGAAAAGAGCAAGUACUUAUGAAUAAGUUCACAAUUUGAAUUGUCUUACCGAUAUGAAUGACGUUGCAGAUUGUUUGAAUGACGCGGAUGUUGAAGAAAUCGUGAAAGAAGGGCAAAACAAGUGGUUGAAUGCAGUUGAAAUAUGCAAAAUAUUUGAAAACCAUGAAAAGCUUCAAAUACUUGCUUCUCAACCACAACCAAGGUGGCUCCUUUUCCGUCAUUAAGCUGCAGAGGCUUUGAGAGUUUAGGAAGGAUGACCACGCGUGGAGUAAAAAGGAAAAAAAAAAUGCUAAGUUGGUCUGGGAAUUUAUUAAAAUUUCAAGGUUCGUGCAAUAAUUUGAAUUAACAACGAGUGAAAUUUUACAGGUUAACAUAGAUGAGAUGUUGAAUUGUUUGUAUGUUUAUUUAGAAGAUAAAACAUGUGGAUAUAAGAAGUUACUGGAAUCAUAGUGGCAUUUCUGGUAUAGUAUGUCAAUGACACAUUACUUAUCGAAAAUGAUAUACUGAAUUUGCAAA